AGAUUCUGGCAGGACCACUGGUGGGCAGGCAGGGGACAGUUGGGCCAUGUGGUGCUCUUCCCAGUCUGGUUCCUGUACAGUCUGCUCAUGAAGCUGUUCCAGCGCUCCACGCCAGCCAUCACCCUCGAGAGCCCGGACAUCAAGUACCCGCUGCGGCUCAUCGACCGGGAGAUCAUCAGCCAUGACACCCGGCGCUUCCGCUUUGCCCUGCCGUCACCCCAGCACAUCCUGGGCCUCCCUGUCGGUGAGUCACGCCCCUGCUGGGCCCACUCGGAGCCCGGCAGGCUGCUGGGGCACUAGAUCAGAGAGAUGGGAGCUUCACAUUUCCACCAGGGAGAGCGGGGAAGCCUUCAGGAGGAGGUGACAGCUGCCCUGGGCCUUUGAGGGCGAGUUUGUUGGAAUGAGAGUGGGAAGGCCCAGAGUCCCUGGCAGUGGCACCAGCAGGAGUGAAGGCAUGGAGGCAGGAAGCUGGGACGUGAGGGGAAUCCCCGGGAGGGGUGGGAGGGGGCCGUGGGAGCUGAGGCCAGGCCAGGCUUUGAAUGCCGGGUGGGGUGCAGGGGAGUGGGUUGACAAGACCCAGG
rnacentral:sRNA from 1 species